rnacentral:rRNA from 1 species
GAUGAACGCUGGCGGCGUGCCUAACACAUGCAAGUCGAACGGAGAUUACGGACGGAAGUUUUCGGAUGGAAGACUGUAAUUCUUAGUGGCGGACGGGUGAGUAACGCUUGGGCAACCUGCCCUAUACAGGGGGAUAGCAGCUGGAAACGGCUGGUAAGACCGCAUAAGUCGGCGAGACCGCAUGGUUUUGCCGGGAAAUGAGCAAUCAGGUAUAGGAUGGGCCCGCGUCCGAUUAGCCAGUUGGCAGGGUAAAAGCCUACCAAAGCAACGAUCGGUAGCCGGAAUGAGAGGCCGGACGGCCACAUUGGGACUGAGACACGGCCCAAACUCCUACGGGAGGCAGCAGUGGGGGAUAUUGCACAAUGGAGGAAACUCUGAUGCAGCGACGCCGCGUGAGUGAAGAAGUAUUUCGGUAUGUAAAGCUCUAUCAGCAGGGAAGAUGAUGACGGUACCUGACUAAGAAGCCCCGGCUAACUACGUG